rnacentral:snoRNA from 1 species
UCCUGAAACAGAAUCUGCAUUUUAACAUGAUCCCCUGAGAAUUAAACUUUGGGCCAUUGACAUGGGCUGGGGGAGACGACUGGGUAGAAAGCAUUAUUCUAUUCAUUUACCUCUAGCUCUAGUCCUACAAAA